UUGGGGGAAUGUAUUGUCCUUUUAUUAGGCCAGUUGUGUUUUUAGAAUGGUAAAGGUAUAAAAGCAUAAAACCAGCUACGUUGGAUAAAAUUCUAGAUAGAAUACUGAUUAUGACUAUUUUCUAUCUAUAUGUCUUGACCAAAUUACGUGCCAGCAGUCGCGGUAAUACGUAGAAGACUAGUGUUAUUCAUCUUUAAUAGGUUUAAAGGGUACCUAGACGGUAUUAUUAACCCAAAACAGGGAAAUAUUUUUACUAGAGUUUGAUAUAAGAAGGGAGUAUUUUGGGAGUAGAGUUAAAAUUCUUUGAUACCCAUAGGACUGGUAAUGGCGAAAGCACUCUUUUAUGUAAUAACUGACGUUAAGGGACGAAGGCUUGGGGCGCGAACAGGAUUAGAGACCCUAGUAGUCCAUGCAGAUAAUUAUGAAUGUCAUAGACUAGAUAUAUUUUAGUUUAUAAAUGAAAGUGUAAGCAUUCCACCUCAAGAGUACUGUGGCAACGCUGGAACUGAAAUCAUUAGACCGUUUCUGAGAACAGUAGUGAAGUAUGUUAUAUAAUUCGAUAGUCCUCGUAAAACCUUACCACAACUUGAAUUGUGUUCUAUAUAUAUUUUAUAUUCAAAUAAUAGCAAUCUAGAUAACUUAAAAUUAUUUUAGCUAUAUCUGAAUAACCAUAUAAAAUUAAUAAGGAUGCUACAAGUGUUGCACGGUUGUCUUCAGCUAAUGUCGUGAGAUUAUGGUUAGAUCCAUAAAAUUAGCGUAAACCCCGGUUUUAUUUUUUAAUUAUUAUUAUGAUAAAGCAGUACAGUCAUUAUAACGAUAUGUGAUAA
rnacentral:rRNA from 1 species